UUCAGCACGUAUCAAUACUGACUUGUAUUUGUACAGAGUUAUUUUAAGCUUGUUUAAAAUCCAAAACCAUAAUGGUUUCUUAUCGAUUUUUCGCCAAUUGAAGCAUCGCCGCAUCAUUAUAAUCAUCUCAUAUUGUAUUUUGGCGUAUAAUAAAACAAACCGGAAAGAAAACCGAAACAUCUGCAUCGUCGACCACAGGCCAUCAUUUCAAAUAAGGGCAAGCGUAAAAAUAGAAAGCAGAAGUCGAAGCAGACGUCGCCAAACAAACAAUACGUGGACGAUAACCUUGUUUAUUAUGGACAAGCCACCAAAGGCUGGAAGAAUUUAAAUUGAACUUAAGUAUGAUAAAAAUUGUACUAUAAAUUAUUCCGGUUUUAAAUGCCUGGAUUACUCCACACAUUCUUUGACUAUUGCAACUUAAAAGUUUGGAAAAACUGUGGAAAAGGAAUUAUGGUAGAGAAACUGAAAAUCGUUUAAGGUGUAUUAGUUCCAUCUUGUUGCGUUCGGUGUACAUGUCCAUUUGGUGAAAAAUUUUGGGGUAGGGAGACCCGCCUGGGAAUAGGUCCCAAACUUUCAUGCAUAUCUUCUAGCAUUAAAACUAGUGCAACUAUAUGAAAGAGGAGUAUGGUUGGAUGUUUUUCACUUUAUAAGGCAGCUAUCAUGGAGGGAAGUUAGCUGAGACUAAGAGCAAAUACCUUAGCUAUCAACCAAUAAGAAGCAAAGCUUUAUUGGUGCCAACAACUAAGAGUUUGUAUGAGUGGGUGAAGGCAGAGAAAUAACCCACACUAACGUAAGCCAAGGUCAACACAAUGGACCUAAGGUCUCCUAGUGAAGCAACGUGCUUUCCAACUUAACCUAAUACCAUGAUUAUAUGGUGAUUUUUCCGUUAAUGGAAAAAGUUUUUGCGGCUCAAUUUUGUUCGCUGGUGAAGUUGGAAAUGUUUAAAAAUAAGCAUUUCAACUGUAAAGCAUAGAACGUUGAAUAUAGAAAAAAGCUCCUUCAAAUUCGGUCAUCAUCUCAUUAGCAGCUUUUUUUCCCUUACAGCCGUCAUGAGUAUUGGCUUGUUGCUUAUCGUCCUUUUUGAAUAUCACCUGCUUUACUAACAAUAACCAAUGGCUUGGAUUUAAUUAAAUUAAUUAAUUUAUGUAUAAAAUUAGUUGGCUUUAUUUAAA
rnacentral:sRNA from 1 species